rnacentral:rRNA from 1 species
GAUGAACGCUGGCGGCGUGCCUAAUACAUGCAAGUCGAGCGAACAGACGAGGAGCUUGCUCCUCUGACGUUAGCGGCGGACGGGUGAGUAACACGUGGAUAACCUACCUAUAAGACUGGGAUAACUUCGGGAAACCGGAGCUACUACCGGAUAAUAUAUUGAACCGCAUGGUUCAAUAGUGAAAGACGGUUUUGCUGUCACUUAUAGAUUGAUCCGCGCCGCAUUAGCUAGUUGGUAAGGUAACGGCUUACCAAGGCAACGAUGCGUAGCCGACCUGAGAGGGUGAUCGGCCACACGGGAACUGAGACACGGUCCAGACUCCGACGGGAGGCAGCAGUAGGGAAUCUUCCGCAAUGGGCGAAAGCCUGACGGAGCAACGCCGCGUGAGUGAUGAAGGUCUUCGGAUCGUAAAACUCUGUUAUUAGGGAAGAACAAAUGUGUAAGUAACUAUGCACGUCUUGACGGUACCUAAUCAGAAAGCCACGGCUAACUACGUG